rnacentral:rRNA from 1 species
UACGUAGGGUGCAAGCGUUAAUCGGAAUUACUGGGCGUAAAGCGUACGCAGGCGGCUAUGUAAGACAGGUGUGAAAUCCCCGGGCCUAACCUGGGAACUGCAUUUGUGACUGCAUAGCUAGAGUCCGGCAGAGGGGGGUGGAAUUCCACGUGUAGCAGUGAAAUGCGUAGAGAUGUGGAGGAACACCGAUGGCGAAGGCAGCCCCCUGGGCUGAGAUUGACGCUCAGGCACGAAAGCGUGGGGAGCAAACAGG